GAUGGAUGGAUUAUCCUUUUAGAAGCUAGUCUCAGGCAGUGAAAAACAUUUUUCUAAUACUUGUUUAUAAAUACUUCCAAUAUGUAUGUUAAUUCACUGCACGUUUGAUUUUGGUACUAUUUACGCUCCACAUGAGUGCUCUUUUUAGAUUAUUUUACAUACAUUUCUGCCUUAGACUUUAAUUUUUUAUUACAAUUAGUCCACUUGUUUAGUUUCCCACGUACGGAGGUCACCCAGUUAACACUGCAGUCUCGCAGGCUCACCACCCUAGGUCCGAAUCCCGCGCCCGGCCUCUGUCUGUGUGGGGUGGGUACAUUCCCUCCGUGUCUUAUUGAGAUUUCCUCUCACGUCCCAAAGACUGCAAGGUUAAGUCAAGUAAACUGGCGAUGCUAGUUUGGACCUUUGUCGGCGUGUACACGAACGUGCCCCGAAAUGCUCUGGCCCUCCUAAAACGAAGACUUCUGAGCUGCGCCUGAUGCUGCAGGGUGUAAACUUCACCCCUCUGCAAUACUGACCUGGAUUAGGGGGAUUCGACGGAGGUAGUAUUGUUUCACUCUGUGACGCUGCACCCCAAACUGUAUGAUGUCAUGCAGAUCCUCGGAAACGGAAGUCAUCCUACAUCUCGUAUCGAGGGCGGAUAAAGGGGGGAAGAAUAAC